rnacentral:rRNA from 1 species
UACGUAGGGUGCGAGCGUUAAUCGGAUUUACUGGGCGUAAAGGGCGCGUAGGCGGCCUGGUAAGUCAGGGGUGAAAUCCCACGGCUCAACCGUGGAAUUGCCUUUGAAACUGCUGGGCUUGGAUCCUGGAGAGGGUGGCGGAAUUCCUGGUGUAGCGGUGAAAUGCGUAGAUAUCAGGAGGAACACCGGUGGCGAAGGCGGUCAUCUGGCCCACUAUUGACGCUGAGGCACGAAAGCGUGGGGAGCAAACAGG